ACAAGCGGUGGAGCACGUUGGUUUAAUUCGAAGCAACGCGAAGAACCCUUUACCAGGUCUUGACAUCCCGAUGCUUAUUUCUAGAGAUAGAAAGUUACUUCGGUACAUCGGUGACAGGUGGUGCAUGGUUGUCGUCAGCUCGUGUCGUGAGAUGUUGGGUUAAGUCCCGCAACGAGCGCAACCCCUAUUGUUAGUUGCCAUCAUUCAGUUGGGCACUCUAGCGAGACUGCCGGUAAUAAACCGGAGGAAGUGGGAUGACGUCAAAUCAUCAUGCCCCUUAUGACCUGGGCUACACACGUGCUACAAUGGUUGGUACAACGAGUUGCGAGUCGGUGACGGCGAGCUAAUCUCUUAAAGCCAAUCUCAGUUCGGAUUGUAGGCUGCAACUCGCCUACAUGAAGUCGGAAUCGCUAGUAAUCGCGGAUCAGCACGCCGCGGUCGAAUACGUUCCCGGGCCUU
rnacentral:rRNA from 1 species